rnacentral:rRNA from 1 species
GAUCCUGGCUCAGGAUGAACGCUGGCGGCGUGCUUAACACAUGCAAGUCGAACGAAGCAACUUCUGCUGCAAGAAAUUGACUUAGUGGCGGACGGGUGAGUAACGCGUGGGUAACCUGCCUCAUACAGGGGGGAUAACAGUUGGAAACGACUGCUAAGACCGCAUAACCCGCUAGUGUCGCAUGACACGGACGGAAAAUAUUUAUAGGUAUGAGAUGGGCCCGCGUCUGAUUAGCUAGUUGGUAAGGUAACGGCUUACCAAGGCGACGAUCAGUAGCCGACUUGAGAGAGUGAUCGGCCACAUUGGGACUGAGACACGGCCCAAACUCCUACGGGAGGCAGCAGUGGGGAAUAUUGGACAAUGGGGGAAACCCUGAUCCAGCGACGCCCGCGUGAGUGAAGAAGUAUUUCGGUAUGUAAAGCUCUAUCAGCAGGGAAGAUAAUGACAGUACCUGACUAAGAAGCCCCGGCUAACUACGUGCCAGCAGCAGC